rnacentral:sRNA from 1 species
GUUCGUCGCAAAGCACUCCUCCUCCCAUGCUUUGCGAUACCAAGACCGGUCUCUCCUUCUCCCAAUUCCGGUCUGACAAUAAUGGCAUCCGUCGCACCUCCUCCCGCGCCGGAUGCCAUUU